rnacentral:rRNA from 1 species
AUUGAACGCUGGCGGCAGGCCUAACACAUGCAAGUCGAACGAGUGGCGGACGGGUGAGUAAUGUCUGGGAAUCUGCCUGAUGGAGGGGGAUAACUACUGGAAACGGUAGCUAAUACCGCAUACCAUCGGAUGUGCCCAGAUGGGAUUAGGUAGUUGGUGGGGUAAUGGCUCACCUAGCCGACGAUCCCUAGCUGGUCUGAGAGGAUGACCAGCCACACUGGAACUGAGACACGGUCCAGACUCCUACGUGAGGCAGCAGUGGGUAAUAGUGCACAAUGGGGGCAAGCCUGAUGCAGCCAUGCCGCGUGAAUGAAGAAGGCCUUCGGGUUGUAAAGUACUUUCAGCGAGGAGGCGUUAACCGCAGAAGAAGCACCGGCUAACUCCGUGCCAGCAGCCGCGGUAAUAC